rnacentral:rRNA from 1 species
AGGACGAACGCUGGCGGCGUGCUUCAUACAUGCAAGUCGAACGAGAAGCUGACUUCGGUCAGUGGAAAGUGGCGGACGGGUGAGUAAGAUGUAAGAGAAUCUGCCCUAGAGAGAGGGACAACAGUUGGAAACGACUGCUAAUACCACAUAUGCGCGUAGCUGAGAUGCUAUUCGUGAAAACUCCGGUGCUCUAGGAUGAGUCUGCAUCUGAUUAGCUAGUUGGGGGGUGUAAUGGACCACCAAGGCGACGAUCAGUAGCUGGUUUGAGAGGAUGAUCAGCCACAAUGGGACUGAGACACGGCCCAUACUCCUACGGGGAGGCAGCAGUAGGGAAUUUUGCGCAAUGGGGGAAACCCUGACGCAAGCAACGCCGCGUGAACGAUGAAGUAUUUCGGUAUGUAAAGUUCUAUCAGCAGGGAAGAUAAUGACGGUACCUGACUAAGAAGCACCGGCUAAAUACGUGCCAGCCGCCGC